UUGCGUGCGGGCAUCUCCAGCCGCCCAGCCGCUCUCCAUCUUCCUUCUCGGCAAUCCCCUCUGCUCCGUCUUCCUCUGCGCGCGCGUCUGUGUUUUGCGCCGCGUCCUCAGCUCUAGGCCAUGGCGCACUCCCGCUCCAGCUUGCCUCUGCUCAGAGCUCCUUCCUUCCCCUCCCAUGGCGUCCUGGCCCCUGCUCGGAUUGGUCAAGCUCGCGUGCGAUUCACAUGAUGCGCGCUAUGCUUCUUGGUCGCCAUGGCGCUCGCCCUUGCGAGCGAGCUCUAUGGUCUCCCUGCUCUCUCGCGGCGUCCUGCUGGCCGGCGCUUGGACUGCGCCCAAGCUCCUCCAUGUCGCGCUCCUUUCUCUCUCUCUCUCGAGUCUCUGUACCGCGCCCUGGCGUCUGCGCCCGACGAAGCUCCCAGCUCAAGCUCCUUCCUGCUCCGCGCCAUGGCGGCUCCUAGUCCCUGGUUGCUCCUCCGGCCGAGUUCUCUGUUUUUUCUUCUCCCAGUUUUCUGCGCUCGCCGAGCAACCUCCAUGGCCGGAUCUCCCUGCUCCUCGCUGCUCGCCCCAAGCUCUCAGCCAUGGCCGUCGAGUCCCCUGUUCCCAUGGCCGAUCUCGGUUCUGUUUGUCGCGACAGCCGACUCUGCUGCUUGCUCCCCUGCGCGCCGUGCUCCUCUGCUCUCUGUCUGUGCGCGUGCUGUGCUCGACGUCUUCCCAUGGCGCUCGACUGUUGGCCGUGCCGUGGAGCCAGCGCGCUCGGUCCUGCCUAUCUCGUAGUGUUUGGAUUCAGCGCAGCUCGUGUCCUAUUUUCUGCUUGCCAGCAUGUUCUCUCGGCUCGCUUGGUCUGAAUUCCCAUCGCGUCGUCGAUCUUGCCAAGUAUCGUCGUUCAUCGUCGUGCUGUGCGUGCAACAGCCCUGAGUCUAUGUCGCCCCGGCCUUGUUGUCGACAUCGUUCGCCGUAGCUCAGCUUGCUAGUUCGUCGUGUCGCGUCGUGUGCCGAUAUUCUCUCCCGGCAGGCCUCGCCGUCGACGAUGUUCAAGUGAUUGUUUGGCUCCUCGCAUCCCACCUAUUCAAUAAAACACCCAAAUCCAUAGACUGUCGAGACACUGCUGUCAUACGCAGUUGUCUCCGUCAUUUGCGUCAGCUCGCCAGACCUACAGCUCCAUAUAUGUCAUUCUCCCGUAUCGUCGUCGAGCCCGGCGAACCUUGUUCUUCUCUGCUCGAUCUCGUCGAACCACGAAUCCCGGACUUUAGACAAAAAUAAGCGAGGUCCCUGUGCAUCGCUUAUCAAGUACUCGGUCGAAGACUUCAAUCGAAGAUCGUCGUCAUUCCGUGCGUCAUCGAGGAAUCCCAAGGAUCGGAUGAAGACGAAGCUAGCAGCGCGAUAUUCCCCAAGCGCUCGACAAAUUGCCUGAAUCGGAAAAUCGCUACCGAUCUCGUGGAUUCAUGUCAGCUGUGGAAACGGUACGUGAAUUAACCACGUGAUGUGGAGAACCAUAACUGAGUCGACCACAAGAUGGUGCUGAUGAACGAAACUGAAGGUGGACAGAUGAAACAAGUAUCAGAACAAAAGAUGGUCGUCAAGUGGACGUCACCUAACAAACACUAACGUAGUGUUUAUUCCAGGCAAGCUCCGGUGCAUACAACCCCUUCCUUGUGUUUUUAAAUAAUUUUUGCACACUUUAAGUCUAGUGAAUAUGCAUUAGGUUUAUAGGAGUUGCUUGGAAACCCUUUGAUGCAUUGCCUACCUUGAUAUCCAUACCUUUAUAGAUACUUCUGGUGAAGUAUCAAAAUAUGAUUUACAAAAGUGCUUAGCCCUGCUUAGAUCUUGUGGAUAGAGGUUGUCUUUUGCAUUAAUGCCUAGCUCAGGGGUUAUCCUCAGGAAAGAUGGCUUCUACCUGCAAGAAUAUUUUCAUUAAGAGCGUGGUGGGAUUUUACUGCAAAGUUCCCUUUGAUGCUCUUUUCAUACUAAGGAACACAAACAAUCCUAAGGAUGGAAGUACUUAAAUCGGGACUUGGGCUAGGAACAGGUGAUGCUCCGCCCAAGUUAGUUAAGGAUUGGAUGCGUAUGUAGGCCUGUUGAUCAAGGACUAUCUUAACUAACCACAUGCCCUGGAAAUGGGAAAGGGUAAGCUUGAACCAUUCCAUACAUGAAAAGACAAUCGCGCACUGGGAGUGGAGAGAUGGCGAGAGUGGCACAUACCCUCCUAGCAAAGGAUCGCCUAAAAGGGGUGGUGUGCUCUCGGGUGGCGCGGACCUGUUCAUGCAGUGGAGGAUCCAUGGGAAUGGUAGACAUGCAAGGUUUACGAGAAACAUAUGUCGUGUGGUUAGAGAUCCUCAGCUGAGUAAAUCGAUUCCGAUCGCCGUUAUAUCCCCGGAGAGUGGAGACUUGAUCGUUGCCCUGCAACCUAAGUCAGGAUGUGAACCUCAUGAAUAAAAAUGAUGUUGUAUUGAUGAGAUGGUGAAAUUAGACCAGAUGCAAACAGAGUCUAUUAAUAUUUAAUCUGGCAUUAAAAUAUUGAAAGUAAGGACUCACUUUAGUAAGCUAAUUUUGCAAAAGUAUCUAAGUUAUUCUUGCUAAAGCCUCUCCUUGAUUCAAAAAUCCAGCAUAUCCUUGAGAGUCUUUUCUUUAGUCGGGUAAGUCUUGCUGAGUAAUUCCAUACUCAGGGUUUUAUUCCCUGUUGUUUUUCAGGUUAUAGUUUUGUGCUGCUGUUGAUGGUGUUAAGUGCCGGUGGGCUCGGCCUUCUUAUAUAAGUAUACCCCGUCUUUAUCUUCUUAUUGAGGAUGGUCACUUAAGCUAGCAUAUAUUUCAAACUUAUAAACAAUUUAUAACAGUUCAAAGUUAUUCCUUUGAAUCACUUUUUGUAAUCACUCUGAUCAUGUACAUUAUAAAACUUGAUGUAACAUGUAAAAUUUAGUAAUAAGAUUUCCACUGAAAAAAUGUUGGUGUGU